UUUUGUACUAGGGUCAAUACAAAAUUCGAUUUCUCGCUCUAGGGUAGGCUAGGAAGUCAUCAGGAUUACGUCAGAAAAUUUAUUAACGAUAGAAAUAUCAUUCAAAACUGUGACUCUCAUGGUGCUUCAACCACAGCACCUCACAAUGACACCUAUCAGUUUACUACCGCACAAAUAUGGCGUCCCCUACAAAGAGUCUGGCUUCGGUGCAUCCCCAUCAACAGGAAGUCACCAGAUAGAGGCUCUUGUAUCAACUUCUACAGUUGGG
rnacentral:lncRNA from 1 species